GAGCUCGUAGGCGGUUUGUCGCGUCUGCUGUGAAAUCCCGAGGCUCAACCUCGGGUCUGCAGUGGGUACGGGCAGACUAGAGUGCGGUAGGGGAGAUUGGAAUUCCUGGUGUAGCGGUGGAAUGCGCAGAUAUCAGGAGGAACACCGAUGGCGAAGGCAGAUCUCUGGGCCGCUACUGACGCUGAGGAGCGAAAGGGUGGGGAGCAAACAGGCUUAGAUACCCUGGUAGUCCACCCCGUAAACGUUGGGCGCUAGAUGUGGGGACCAUUCCACGGUUUCCGUGUCGUAGCUAACGCAUUAAGCGCCCCGCCUGGGGAGUACGGCCGCAAGGCUAAAACUCAAAGGAAUUGACGGGGGCCCGCACAAGCGGCGGAGCAUGCGGAUUAAUUCGAUGCAACGCGAAGAACCUUACCAAGGCUUGACAUAUACGAGAACGGGCCAGAAAUGGUCAACUCUUUGGACACUCGUAAACAGGUGGUGCAUGGUUGUCGUCAGCUCGUGUCGUGAGAUGUUGGGUUAAGUCCCGCAACGAGCGCAACCCUCGUUCUAUGUUGCCAGCACGUUAUGGUGGGAACUCAUGGGAUACUGCCGGGGUCAACUCGGAGGAAGGUGGGGACGACGUCAAAUCAUCAUGCCCCUUAUGUCUUGGGCUUCACGCAUGCUACAAUGGCCAGUACAAAGGGCUGCAAUACCGUAAGGUGGAGCGAAUCCCAAAAAGCUGGUCCCAGUUCGGAUUGAGGUCUGCAACUCGACCUCAUGAAGUCGGAGUCGCUAGUAAUCGCAGAUCAGCAACGCUGCGGUGAAUACGUUCUCGGGCCUUGUACACACCGCCCGUCAAGUCAUGAAAGUCGGUAACACCCGAAGCCAGUGGCCUAACCGCAAGGAUGGAGCUGUCUAAAGUGGGAUCGGGAAUUAGGACGAAGUCGUA
rnacentral:rRNA from 1 species